rnacentral:rRNA from 1 species
GUGUCAGCCGCCGCGGUAAUACAGAGGUCUCAAGCGUUGUUCGGAUUCAUUGGGCGUAAAGGGUGCGUAGGCGGCGCGGUAAGUCGGGUGUGAAAUCUCGGAGCUUAACUCCGAAACUGCAUUCGAUACUGCCGUGCUUGAGGACUGGAGAGGAGACUGGAAUUUACGGUGUAGCGGUGAAAUGCGUAGAUAUCGUAAGGAAGACCAGUGGCGAAGGCGGGUCUCUGGACAGUUCCUGACGCUGAGGCACGAAGGUCAGGGGAGCAAACGGGAGGAUAAACCACCGGAUUAC